UGAGGUCUGUUCCCUAGAGGUCCC
rnacentral:piRNA from 1 species